AGGGGUAUAGCUCAAAGGCAGAGCACUCGCUUGAUAAGCGGGUGAUCCCGGUUCGACUCCGGGUACCCCGA
rnacentral:tRNA from 3 species